rnacentral:rRNA from 1 species
GCUCGUAGUUGGAUUCCUGACCUGGGGUAGCCGGUCCGCCUUGCAAAAGGUGCGCACUGAGCGGCCUCGGUCAUCCUUGAGAAGAGCGGUCCUGGCAUUCAGUUGUCGGGGUCGGGAUUCUCGACGUUUACUGUGAAAAAAUCAGAGUGUUCAACGCAGGCUUACGCCUUGAAUACAUUAGCAUGGAAUAAUGAGAUAGGACCUUGGCGGUCUAUUUUGUUGGUUUGCACGCCGAGGUAAUGAUUAAAAGGGACGGUUGGGGUUCUUCGUAUUCAAUUGUCA